CUGGUUGCAGGUAGUUUUACCUGAAGGAUCCAAAGAAGUUUCUGUUUUGGUUCCAUUUCACACCAAACAAUGGCACGAGACAAAAUAUUCACAUCUGGACCUUAUUGGAAGGCCUGUUAUUGUCUUGAAAAAAAC